UACGGAGGAUCCGAGCGUUAUCCGGAUUUAUUGGGUUUAAAGGGUGCGUAGGUGGAUUGGUAAGUCAGUGGUGAAAGUUUGCAGCUUAACUGUAAAAUUGCCGUUGAAACUGCCGGUCUUGGGUGCAAAUGAGGUAGGCGGAAUGCGUCGUGUAGCGGUGAAAUGCUUAGAUAUGACGCAGAACUCCGAUUGCGAAGGCAGCUUACUGGGAUGCAACUGACGCUGAGGCACGAAAGCGUGGGUAUCAAACAGGAUUAGAUACCCCGGUAGU
rnacentral:rRNA from 1 species